rnacentral:rRNA from 1 species
UAGGGAAUAUUGGACAAUGGGCGAAAGCCUGAUCCAGCCAUGCCACGUGAGUGAUGAAGGCCUUCGGGUCGUAAAGCUCUUUUCUGAGGGAAGAACAGCCGGGGGAGGAAAUGUCCCCGGCCUGACGGUACCUUAGGAAUAAGGGACGGCUAACUCCGUGCCAGCAGCCGCGGUAAUACGGAGGUCCCGAGCGUUGUUCGGAAUUACUGGGCGUAAAGGGAGCGCAGGCGGACGGGUCAGUCUGAAGUGGAAAUCCGUGGCUUAACCUCGGACUUGCUUCGGAUACUGCCCGUCUUGAGUUCGUGAGAGGAAGAUGGAGUUCAGGGUGUAGCGGUGAAAUGCUCAGAUAUCCUGAGGAACACCAGUGGCGAAAGCGGUCUUCUGGCACGAAACUGACGCUGAGGCUCGAAAGCGUGGGUAGCAAACAG